UACAACGAAACUGCGAAUGGCUCGGUAAAACAGCAAUAAUUUAUUCGGGGGUAAUUGCUACUUGGAUAACCGUAGUAAAGCUAGAGCUAAUACGUGCUACAAAGGCGAGAUUCGCUCUCGUGGUACUAAGUAUUAGGUACAACCCAAUUUUUUUGGUGAUUCAUACUUAUCUUCUGAUCGCACUCUGUGCGACGCCCCGAAUAAAUUUCUGACCUAUCAACUUCGAUGGUAAGGUAGUGUCUUACCAUGGUUGUGACGGGUAACGGACCGUGGGUGCGGGAUUCCGGAGAGGGAGCCUGAGAAACGGCUACCACAUCCAAGGAAGGCAGCAGGCGCGCAACUUACCCAAUCCGAACUUCGGGAGGUAGUGACAAAAAAUAUCAAUAAGGGGACCGAUGGUCUUCUUAAUUGGAAUGAAAACAAUCUAAACACCUUAUUAAGGAACCAGCAGAGGGCAAGUCUGGUGCCAGCAGCCGCGGUAAUUCCAGCUCUGUAAGCGUAUACCAAAGUUGUUGCAGUUAAAACGCUCGUAGUCGAACUUUGGCGUGAGUUACGGAGGCUCCUAAUGGACGUUGAAGUAACUCCGCCUUUGUGGAGGGGGGUGCGGUGGUACUUUAUUGUAUUGCUGCGCUUCCGCCACUGUUUACUGUGAAAAAAUUAGAGUGUUCAAAGCGAGCGUUUGCCAUGAAUACAUUAGCAUGGAAUAAUAGAAUAGGACCUGAUCCUGUUUUAUUGGUUUGUCUGUAUCAGGUAAUGAUUAACAGGGACGGUCGGGGGCAUUUGUAUUCCAGCGUUAGAGGUGAAAUUCUUGGAUCGCUGGAAGACAAACAGCUGCGAAAGCGUCUGCCAAGGACGUUUUCAUUGAUCAAGAACGAAAGUAAGGGGAUCGAAGACGAUCAGAUACCGUCGUAGUCUUUACUAUAAACGAUGAUGACUAAGGAUCAGCCGUGGCCUAUUGGUACGGUUGGCACUUUCCGGGAAACCAAAGUUUUUGAUUUCUGGGGGGAGUAUGGUCGCAAGUCUGAAACUUAAAGGAAUUGACGGAAGGGCAUCACCGGGUGUGGAGCCUGCGGCUUAAUUUGACUCAACACGGGAAAACUUACCAGGUCCAGACAUAGUAAGGAUUGACAGAUUGAGAGCUCUUUCUUGAUUCUAUGGUUGGUG
rnacentral:rRNA from 1 species